UUCUUACUGGAAUAAUAAUAAGUAUCACCUGCUCAAUGAAUAUUAAAUAGCCGCGGAAAUUUAACCGUGCUAAGGUAGCAUAAUCAUUAGUCUUUUAAUUGGAGACUAGUAUGAAUGGUGAAACAUUUCAAUUUCUUUAUUAAAUAUUAUUUACCAACUUAAAUUAAGAAUAAAAAUGUUCUUAUUUUUAAAAUAGACGACAAGACCCUAUUGAACUUUACUUUUGUUAAACUGGGGCAGUUAUAAAAAUAUUAUCUUUUAAUCUAUUAAAUUAAUAAAUGAUCCAAUAAAAUUGAUUAUUUGAACAAGUUACCAUAGGGAUAACAGCAUAAUAUAUUUUUAAAGAUCUUAUUUAAAAAAAUGUUUAUGACCUCGAUGUUGAAUUAGUGUUUCUUAAAUGAUGCAGUAAUUUAUUAAGUUGGUCUGUUCGACCAUUAAAACACUACAU
rnacentral:rRNA from 1 species